ensembl:lncRNA
ACCUCAAGGUAAAGGAUGAACCAUGACCUCAGGGUAAAGGAUGAACCAUGACCCCAGGGUAAAGGAUGAACUAUGACCUCAGGGUAAAGGAUGAACUAUGACCUCAGGGUACAGAAGGUUCCUCUCUUUGCAUUUAUUUUUUUCAAUUCCGACAAAAAUGGAAGAAAAAAAGUCCAGUUGAACGCAGCUCCAGACGAGUCUUGGGUUACGAUUGUCUCUUAGAUAUGAAGUAUACAUACACCAACACCUGUAAGUCCAUGUUUGGGUCCCAAAUGGCACCCUAUUCCCUAUGUAGUGCACUACUUUUGACCAGGGCCCUAUGGCCAAUGGCACCCUAUUCCCUAUGUAGUGCACUACUUUAGACCAGGGCCCUAUGGCCAAUGGCACCCUAUUCCCUAUGUAGUGCACUACUUUCGACCAGGGCCCUAUGGCCAAUGGCACCCUAUUCCCUAUGUAGUGCACUACUUUCGACCAGGGCCCAUUUGGGAGACAGCCUAUAAGUCCUAUCAAGAUAGAUAGAUAGUCCUCUAUCUAUUUUAGUGUGCCCAAAAGCCUGUUUUAGCAUGGACAGUAACAUUGAGGACUUUCACCAUUUUGAAGUAGUCAACUGGGCAGGACAUCCUGUGGGUUAAGGAAGGAUCACAUAAUUCCAUCGAGGUCACAAGGUGUGGGGGCAGUGAAUCACCAACCUUGGCUUUGUGCCUGUUUAAAUAACACCCUCCAGGUGGCUGUGAAUCGCCAACCUUGGCUUUGUGCCUGUUUAAAUAACACCCUCCAGGUGGCUGUGAAUCGCCAACCUUGGCUUUGUGCCUGUUUAAAUAACACCCUCCAGGUGGCUGUGAAUCGCCAACCUUGGCUUUGUGCCUGUUUAAAUAACACCCUCCAGGUGGCUGUGAAUCGCCAACCUUGACUUUGUGCCUGUUUAAAUAACACCCUCCAGGUGGCAGUACGCACCCUUUCAGUUUAUUUACCAACUCAUAGAAGGAGUAGAAGAAGAAAAAAUGAACUACUUCAAAAUGGAGAUGGCCACAGUCUGUGCAUUAUGGUCGUCUGUGCGCUCACAGACACCAUAAUGGGACAGAAUACAAUGUUGGCGAUCUCUUAACAUCUCUAUGGUGGCAGGAAUCAACGUGACCUUUAACCUCUAUAUUGGGUUAUUUUCUUUCUUGAUGCUCAGACUGUGGAUCCAAAUAAAGUGUUCCAGUGUGUUCUUGCUCCAGAAUCCCCUAUAGGUACAGAUCUAGGAUCAGCUUCCCCCUCCCCCAAUCCUAACCUUAACUAUUAGUGGGGGUGGUGGGGGGGGGACAAUGUUAAACUGACCCAAGAUCAGUGUCUAGGGGAAACUUCACCCGUCUCCAUGUUUAAUAGUCCAAUGGAGUCCGAAAGAGCAUUGUUUAUUGUUUUGCAUGUGCUGGCCGGUGGGUGUUACAGUGUGUGUUACAGUCUUAAUAGUCCGUAGUGCUACAAAAGAGCUGUUAAAAGAAGGUUCCCCCUGGUGGCAGUGGUCUCCAUGUACAAAGGCUACAGGUCAUGAAGACUGAACGGCUGCAUUCCAAAUGGCAACCUAUUCCCUAUGUAGUGCACUACUUUUGACCAGAGCCCUUUGUGCAGUAUAAAGGGAAUAGGUUGCCAUUUGGGACACAACCCAUGGCCUUGGUUGGGGCGAGGCAGACACUGCCUCGGGUGUCAGGGCCUUGGUUGGGGCGAGGCAGACACUGCCUCGGGUGUCAGGGCCUUGGUUGGGGCGAGGCAGACACUGCCUCGGGUGUCAGGGCCUUGGUUGGGGCGAGGCAGACGCUGCCUCGGGUGUCAGGGCAGGUGACAUCACUUUGUUCCACGGUGGGAAAAUGUUUACUAGCUAGCUACCUCACACCUGCAACACUUCCUCCAUCGCUCUUCCCCCAUCUCUCCUCCUCUUCCUCCACCUCUCCUCAUCCGCCAUCUCUCCUCCUCUUCCUCCAUCUCUCCUCCUCUUCCUUCAUCUCUCCUCCCCUUCCUCCAUCUCUCCUCCUCUUCCUCCAUCUCUCCUCCUCUUCCUCCAUCUCUCCUCCUCUUCCUCCAUCUCUCCUCCUCUUCCUCCAUCUCUCCUCCUCU